GCCGAUGCAGGGGACACGGGUUUGUGCCCCAGUCUGGGAGGAUUCUACAUGCCGCGGAGCGGCUGGGCCCGUGAGCCAUGGCCGCUGGGCCUGCGCGUCCGGAGCCUGUGCUCCGCAACGGGAGGGGCCACAGCAGUGAGAGGCCCGCGUACCACACACACACACACAAAAAUCACUUUCCUCAGUUAUUAAUAAUACGAAGCAAAUUUCUAUCAACCUUGCCUGAGGGAAGAUUAGACCUCCUGUUGUCCUUCUAUAGAAAAUGAUAUCACACAAUUGUUACAUGAAGAAGCAAAGAGUUUUCGGCCACACAUGUCAGAAAAGAUAUGAUAGGGUAAACUAGGCAGUUAAUUAAUAAAGUAUUUUUAUUAAAAAACGCUAACCUCCAAAGAAAAAUAAGAUUAUUUUGUCCUCAUGUGUCCCUGAUGACUGUCUGCUGGCUUUUAGGAAUUGGAGAUUUGACCAUUUGAUAACCUAAUGUGCAUAUCUGCCUGUAGUUCUGUUGCAGAGUGUUGGCUUUGGGCUCACGCAUUUACCUUGAUCCCUAUGUGAAAACUCGAGCAUUUACCCAUCUCCCUUCUUCCAGCUGGAGGACAGGAGCUUUUAAGUUUUAUGCCAUUUUUAAAACAGGUAUUAUAAUGGUAUAGCUCAGAUACUGAAACAUUUACUUUAGAAGGAACUCACAAAACAAACAAAAAAUCUAAGUUAUUAAAUCUUGAUUAUCCAUUGUCAUUUUAAGGCAUAAUUUGGAAAUUAAAUUGAUCAAAUAAAUGAAAAAUUGUUAGGGAAACUACCUUUGAUGUAGGGUAGAGUGUGAACAGAACCAGGAUACAGUGUGCUGCAGAGCUAGUUGGUUGUUUCCACUAUAGUGAGUGAGAUUCAUUUUUUAGAGAAGGAUGGAUUUUGACCAUCCUUCAGAAUCCAGGAACAGGAAAACUGGCCACACACACGCACACUUCCAAGGCAAACAUCCACUUCAUAACCUCCCAUCACAUUUUUAUUUAACACAUAUCAGAGUAGCAUUCACUAAGUGCAAAGCUCUGUGCCAGGGAGGGGCACAAAGAUGAAAAGGCUCUGUAGAGACCCUCAUGGGACAGAGAAAGGGACAAACAAUAAUGAAAGGUAACAAAAGGGGUAAGGUGUGGGGACACGGUGCCCAACACUGCAGCGAAGAGUCCAGAGGGGCCCCUGCAACCCUGGACAUACCUGGGGUCAGAGGGUAGGGCAGGCAGCACAAGCUUGGGGCAUCAGGUGUGGUGUGGCGGUGGGACCUGCUGUCCAGUCCAGGCCCAGCAUCUCCAUCAAGACUGGGCCUGCGGGUGCAGCAGGGGAGCUGUGCAGCAGCCAGGCCGGGCUUUUCCCCUUUCCUGCAGGUGAGGUUGCCUGGCCUCUGUUUCCUCAUCUGUUGAGAACGGAUCAGUGGUGCCUACCUCACACAAUUAUGAUUAUUAAGUUAAUGUAUGAAAUUGCUUAAAUGGAGCCUGGCUUACAAAAGUGCUACAUUAAUGAGGCCCAUAGGGAUGGUCUGAGUGAUGACCUCAGGUUGUUGAGAGGGUCACAAAAAUAACGCAUUUCAGUAAGGAUGGUACCUUAUGCAGAGUAAGCACUCAAGUGUUUGGGUCUUUUCUAACUUCUUUGAGACAAAAUCCACAUAACAUAAAAUUGAUUUAACCAGUUUUUAAAGUGUACAAUUCAGUGGUUUUUAGCACAGUCACAGUGUUGUGCAACCAUCAUCACUAACUCCAGGAUAUUUCCAUCACCUCAACAAGAAACCCCUUACCUGUUAGCAGUCAAACCAACGAUCCCUCCCUCCUGCAGCCUCUGGCAACCCCUCAUCUGUUUUCUGUGUCUAUAGAUUUGCCAGUUCCGGGCAUUUCUUACAAAUGGAAUCAUAAUCUGUGGCUUUUUGUGUCUGGCUUCUUUCACUCAGCGUAUUUUGAAGGUCCGUCGUGUUGCAGUAUUACCGACCCAGGUUCUUAGACUCUUUAAUCAACAGAAAUUGACAAGAGGCCAGAUGAGAAAUGCAGGGUUCUACCAGUCUAAGUCCUUGGUUGACGAUGAAAGUGCCAGCAAGGAGCUCGUGUUCAACCCUGAAGCUGUCAUCGCCCGCUGCUUCAAGCAGUUCAAGCAGGAGGACUUCCACCCGCCUCAGAGCCCCCGGAGGAUCAUCAUCUUGCCUCGAAAGGAGGCUCUGGUGCCCGUCAAUCCCACCCCCCAACCCCAGGCUCCCCCCGAGCCCACCCCCAGCUCCAAAGCCCUGGAAGCUGGGGACAUCCAAGAACAGCCAGAGGACCCAAGGGCCUGGCUGACCCAGAGGCUGAGGGUUCGGCAGGACCUGGAGUCACCUGGCAACAUAGAGAGGUGGCUGCAGAACAAGUCCAGACUCACGCCUUCGGAGGCCAAGGUCUUACACGAGAGCCACAAGGAGCAUGAGGCCCGGCUGAUGGGCCAGCUGGCCACUACCAGAGACACCAAGAAGAAAAGCCUGCGACCCCUCCACCGGCAGGUGCCCCAGCUACAACUGCCCAAACCCUCUGCCCUGUCGGCCUUGUACUCUUACCUGUGCAGCCACAAGAUCAAGAUCCAGGAGAUAUUUCACAAGGUGGAGCAGGGCAAGAACCAGAGGAUCUCCAGGGAGGAGUUCAUCACGGCUCUGAAGGUGGUUGGAGUCCCUCUGAAAAGCCAGGAGGUGGAGGACAUCGUGAUCUAUCUCAGCUCUCUGGGAAAGCACAACAGCAUCACCGUGGAUAACCUGGCCAGCAUCUGCAAGCAGUGGUCUUUGGCUCAGCAGAAAAGCACCCUGGCAACUGCAAAAGAGAGUACAUAUCCACCUCCACCCCCGUGCCUCCACUUCUGCAUCCUGGGAGCCAGUGUGAUGGAGGCAGCCUUGGCUCACUUGAGUGUGUUCUCCACCUCUGUCUUACUACUACAGGUCUGCCAAGGACAGUGGUUCCCCACAGAGUCCAUCCGAGAAGCAGCAGGUGAAUUUAGCUCCAGAGCCUCUCAGGAUGGACCUGCUGACCGUGCCCGUGGUCAACACCGAGAUGGAGGCACGGCCCAUGACCCUGGAGGAGAUGGAGGAUGUGGGCAAGCGCUCCCCAUCCCCUCCAUCCAGUACACGGAGCAGUGCCGCCUGGUGCACAGCGGGAACAAGCACUUUGAUGAGCGCUGCCUCCCGUCCACCUCCCACGGGGAGAUGCAGGCGGUCCCCAACCGGCACCUUUCUGGUCUACCUGCAGUGCUGGAAGCUCUGCAAAUCCUACAGCCUCCCGCUGACCGAGGACAUCCUCGUGAGAGCCCUGAUGUACCCGGAGGACAAGAUCAUUUUCCAGAAGGACCAGGUGCGUCCAAUCCGGCAACCGGGAGGCUACUGCUCGGACCUGAAGAUCACCAGUCCGAACCUGGCCCUGCUCCGAUCCCAGGGCGUUUCCAGCCCUGUGGCUCAGAAGCCUGGCAAGCUGAGUGUCGGCCCCCUCCUCCCCUGCCUGCGCUCCUGCCCCACUGCUGCCCCUUUGCUGGGGGGCUGGGGGUCACGUUGUGCCAGUGUCUGUGUCCUAACCUGGCAUGUCCAACCCAACUGAUCAACAUGGACUGGCCAUGUGUCCCCGGGCACAUGUCUCUGCAGCCGCCUUGCCUCGUUCCCACGCAGCCACCCUCCUGACCACAUCCUGUGUGACCUCAAGCUCUCUGGAAAAGGAACAUGCUGAAGAAAAUCAAGAAAGUCAGCUUUAAGAAGUUUGAGGAAUUCACCAGGAAGCUGAAGGUGAAGAGGCCCAGUGGUCC